GUGACUGGUCACAUGACUGGUGACCAGACACAAGUCUGCCUUCCCCGAAGUUCUGCUGCCAGCCCACAUGGGGCACAACUGUGUCACUUUCUAGACCCAAUGUUCUACCACAUUGGUAUUUACAUUGUGAUGCUCUGUAAAUUCCGGAAGGACUCCACGGUCACUGACGGCGUAUAUCAUUUUUGCUCUGGACGUACGUGAUGUUAGUGACCCAUCAAGAUAAUUGUAAAAAUCUGGCUGAGUUUCCAAAAAGGCAGAAAAUAAAGCGAGUUCUUCAAACAAUAUUCACAGAUGAAAAUCUUAUGGAUCUGCAAUGUUAAUUUCAAAGGAUACUGCCAUUUUCUCCAUUUCUACAAGAUUCUCCGUGGGGUUUGAAACGUACCGCUGGGAACGAGUCACUGGGGGUAGGGGGAGUUGAGCAGCACCUGUCCAGAGGGCAGCGAACACGCAAACUUGGGGAAGUCACAACACGUCUCCUGAUGAAACCCUAGAUGGUCUCUGCCCUGGUCUCACCAGUCCCUCAGGUGCCGGUCUGGAGACUCAGCAAGAGGCAAGCUGAACUGAUGACCAGGUGCCUUAGAUACAACAUCCCAGAUGAUCCUUCUGUUUAAAAAUGAUCAAAUACACCUCUUUUUA